rnacentral:lncRNA from 1 species
CCCGAAAGGCAUCCACCAGACGAUCCACGACCUCUGCGGCCAGAUAUCAGGCUCCGACCUCGCCUCCAAUUUUCCAGACUCUUCCUUGUCCUCCGACAACGACGGUCGAUAUGGAGCAGUUCGACCUACUGGUUCAGUAGGUCAGAGGCCUCACUGAAGCGGUACAGGCCAUGCAGCAGCAGCAGCAACAGCCACAAGUGUC